GUACACAAAUGAAAAUACACUGUCUACAGGCUUGAUGUCGUAAUCAUGUCACAACUGAGACUUUCACAACUUCUUUAUUUCCAAUGUUCUUUCGAAAAGAUUUACCAUACUGGCAUCGACAACCACCAACUGUUGGUUUGGUUGGCCCACAGUGGAAAGUUACUGAAAAGCAUGACAGGCUAUUUAGUUGGCCUUUAUGGCUGAAUUCUCACUUUGUUGUAUCAUCCACAGACAGAAGUUGAAUACGGCCGAGAAGAAGCUUCCAACCAAACCAGUCCCCUAGAUACAGAAAGCAACCUUGUCUAGACCAGAGGACAUCUAUGAAAACAUGAAAUGGUCAGCCAAGCCGAUCACUGAUCCUGAUGACAUGAACUACGCAGAGCUCAAUAUCAGGCCUGCUCCUUCACCCAGGAUGCAGCGGAAUAACAAGGUAGAGGAUGACGAUGCAGUAAUCUACAGACAACUGCAAACACACUGAGGUGGUCAGAGAACUUUGAUAUCUGGACCUCAAGGCCUACAGUAUGGUAAACUCAAGAAAAGUGAAUGACAAAAAGUAUGUUUAAGUCACGUUUUUUAAAUAGCAAAAUACAAGCUGUUAUACUGUAUGUGUAUGUACAAACCAUGUACAGUGUACAAUGUACAAAAUAAACAGUAAAAAAGUGGAUAAUUAUACAAAUACAAACAUAAAAUGAUUUACAUGAGCACACAGGGUAUAAAAUUGUUAAACUUGGGUCAAAUGUUUUGGGUAGCCUUCCACAUGCUUCCCACAAUAAGUUAGGUGAAUUUUGGCCCAUUCCUCCUGACAGAGCUGGUGUAACUGAGUCAGAUUUGUAGGACUCCUUGCUUGCACACGCUUUUUCAGUUCUGCCCACAAAUGUUCGAUUGGAUUGAGGUCAGGGCUUUGUGAUGGCCACUCCAAUACCUUGACUUUGUUGUCCUUAAGCCAUUUUGCCUUUGGAAGUAUGCUUGGGGUCAAUGUCCAUUUGGAAGACCCAUUUGCGACCAAGCUUUAACUUCCUGACUGAUGUCUUGAGAUGUUGUUUCAAUAUAUUCCCAUCAUUUUCCUUUCUCAUGCUGCCAUCUAUUUUCUGAAGUGCACCUGUCCCUCUUGCAGCAAGCACCCUCACAACUCACAACAUGAUGCUGCCACCUCCGUCCUUCGUGGUUGGGAUGGUGGUCUUCGCUUGUA